rnacentral:rRNA from 1 species
UACGUAGGGGGCAAGCGUUGUCCGGAAUCAUUGGGCGUAAAGAGCGUGUAGGCGGCUCGGUAAGUCCGCUGUGAAAGUCCAGGGCUCAACCCUGGAAUGCCGGUGGAAACUGUCGAGCUGAGAGUCCGGAAGAGGCGAGUGGAAUUCCUGGUGUAGCGUGAAAUGCGCAGAUAUCAGGAGGAACACCAAUGGCGAAGGCAGCUCGCUGGGACGGUACUGACGCUGAGACGCGAAAGCGUGGGGAGCAAACAGG